UACGUAGGGGGCAAGCGUUGUCCGGAAUCAUUGGGCGUAAAGAGCGUGUAGGCGGUCCGUUAAGUCGGCUGUGAAAGUCCAAGGCUCAACCUUGGGAUGCCGGUCGAUACUGCCGGACUAGAGUUCGGAAGAGGCGAGUGGAAUUCCCGGUGUAGCGGUGAAAUGCGCAGAUAUCGGGAGGAACACCUAUGGCGAAGGCAGCUCGCUGGGACGUGACUGACGCUGAGACGCGAAAGCGUGGGGAGCAAACAGG
rnacentral:rRNA from 1 species